rnacentral:rRNA from 1 species
AACGAACGCUGGCGGCAUGCCUAACACAUGCAAGUCGAACGAGACCUUCGGGUCUAGUGGCGCACGGGUGCGUAACGCGUGGGAACCUGCCCUUAGGUUCGGAAUAACUCCCCGAAAGGGGUGCUAAUACCGGAUAAUGUCUUCGGACCAAAGAUUUAUCGCCUUUGGAUGGGCCCGCGCUGGAUUAGCUAGUUGGUAGGGUAAAAGCCUACCAAGGCGACGAUCCAUAGCUGGUCUGAGAGGAUGAUCAGCCACACUGGGACUGAGACACGGCCCAGACUCCUACGGGAGGCAGCAGUGGGGAAUAUUGGACAAUGGGCGAAAGCCUGAUCCAGCAAUGCCGCGUGAGUGAUGAAGGCCUUAGGGUUGUAAAGCUCUUUUACCCGGGAUGACAAUGACAGUACCGGGAGAAUAAGCUCCGGCUAACUCCGUG